rnacentral:rRNA from 1 species
UAUCUCUGUAGAGUCUGCAUAUCAAUAAGCGGAGGAAAAGAAACUAACAAGGAUUCCCUUAGUAACGGCGAGUGAAGCGGGAAGAGCUCAAAUUUGAAAUCUUCAAGGUUUUACCUUGACGAAUUGUAGUUUAAAGAAGUGUUUUCUGUUGGAAGUUUUGGUAAAAGUUCUUUGGAAAUAGGACAUCAUAAGAGGGUGAGAAUCCCGUAUUUGACCAUUAUUUCCAGCUGUGUGAUACACUUUCAAAGAGUCGGAUUGUUUGGGAAUGCAGUCCAAAAUGGGUGGUAAAUUUCAUCUAAAGCUAAAUAUUGGCGAGAGACCGAUAGCGAACAAGUACCGUGAGGGAAAGAUGAAAAGAACUUUGAAAAGAGAGUUAAACAGUACGUGAAAUUGUCAAAAGGGAAGCGUUUGACACCAGUGUUGUUUUCUCGAAAAUCAAUUAAAAAAUGACUGGAUUUUGUGUUGUAUUGACUUUAUCAGCUUUCUGCACUCUUUUCUUGUCUUUUUUAAUGCACUUUUCGUUUAACAAGUCAACAUCAAUUUCUUUUGUUGUAAAAGGGUCAUUGGAAGGUGGCUUUCUUUUCGGAGAAAGUGUUUAUAGCCUUUGGACUUCUGCAAUCGGAGAGAUUGAGGUCUGCAGCGUAGAUCCUUCGGGGUUAGAUACAUUUGUGCUAAGUUAUAGCCUUUCAUAGACAACUUGUUGACUAUGAUCAGUCAUGUAGCUUACUCGCUUAUGUCAUUUUACCUACGCUUAGGAUGUUGAGUAGCGACAUACGCAC